CGAGUGAACAUGAUGAUAGUAAUUUGCUGCGAUUUCCCGAAUUCGCCAUGUGGAGAUCCAUCUUGGAGAACUGAACGCUCG